AUUGAACGCUGGCGGCAUGCCUUACACAUGCAAGUCGAACGGUAACAGGUUAAGCUGACGAGUGGCGAACGGGUGAGUAAUGUAUCGGAACGUGCCCAGUCGUGGGGGAUAGCUACUCGAAAGAGUGGCUAAUACCGCAUACGACCUGAGGGUGAAAGCGGGGGACCGUAAGGCCUCGCGCGAUUGGAGCGGCCGAUAUCAGGUUAGCUAGUUGGUGGGGUAAAAGCCCACCAAGGCGACGAUCUGUAGCUGGUCUGAGAGGACGACCAGCCACACUGGGACUGAGACACGGCCCAGACUCCUACGGGAGGCAGCAGUGGGGAAUUUUGGACAAUGGACGCAAGUCUGAUCCAGCCAUGCCGCGUGCGGGAAGAAGGCCUUCGGGUUGUAAACCGCUUUUGUCAGGGAAGAAACGAGUUUCUCUAAUACAGAGACUUAAUGACGGUACCUGAAGAAUAAGCACCGGCUAACUACGUGCCAGCCGCCGCGGUAACAC
rnacentral:rRNA from 1 species